rnacentral:rRNA from 1 species
CAUUUUUCCACCGGAGCUUGCUCCACCGGAAAAAGANGAGUGGGCGAACGGGUAGUAACACGUGGGUAACCUGCCCAUCAGAAGGGGAUAACACUUGGAAACAGGUGCUAAUACCGUAUAACAAUCNAAACCGCAUGGUUUUGAUUUGAAAGGCGCUUUCGGGUGUCGCUGAUGGAUGGACCCGCGGUGCAUUAGCUAGUUGGUGAGGUAACGGCUCACCAAGGCCACGAUGCAUAGCCGACCUGAGAGGGUGAUCGGCCACAUUGGGACUGAGACACGGCCCAAACUCCUACGGGAGGCAGCAGUAGGGAAUCUUCGGCAAUGGACGAAAGUCUGACCGAGCAACGCCGCGUGAGUGAAGAAGGUUUUCGGAUCGUAAAACUCUGUUGUUAGAGAAGAACAAGGAUGAGAGUAACUGUUCAUCCCUUGACGGUAUCUAACCAGAAAGCCACGGCUAACUACGUGCCAGCAGCCGCGGUAAUACGUAGGUGGCAAGCGUUGUCCGGAUUUAUUGGGCGUAAAGCGAGCGCAGGCGGUUUCUUAAGUCUGAUGUGAAAGCCCCCGGCUCAACCGGGGAGGGUCAUUGGAAACUGGGAGACUUGAGUGCAGAAGAGGAGAGUGGAAUUCCAUGUGUAGCGGUGAAAUGCGUAGAUAUAUGGAGGAACACCAGUGGCGAAGGCGGCUCUCUGGUCUGUAACUGACGCUGAGGCUCGAAAGCGUGGGGAGCAAACAGGAUUAGAUACCCUGGGUAGUCCACGCCGUAAACGAUGAGUGCUAAGUGUUGGAGGGUUUCCGCCCUUCAGUGCUGCAGCUAACGCAUUAAGCACUCCGCCUGGGG